AUUGAACGCUGGCGGCAUGCCUUACACAUGCAAGUCGAACGGUAACGCGGGGCAACCUGGCGACGAGUGGCGAACGGGUGAGUAAUGCAUCGGAACGUGCCCAGUAGUGGGGGAUAGCCCGGCGAAAGCCGGAUUAAUACCGCAUACGACCUACGGGUGAAAGCGGGGGACCGCAAGGCCUCGCGCUACUGGAGCGGCCGAUGUCAGAUUAGGUUGUUGGUGGGGUAAUGGCCUACCAAGCCUGCGAUCUGUAGCUGGUCUGAGAGGACGACCAGCCACACGGGGACUGAGACACGGCCCAGACUCCUACGGGAGGCAGCAGUGGGGAAUUUUGGACAGUGGGGGAAACCCUGAUCCAGCCAUGCCGCGUGCGGGAAGAAGGCCUUCGGGUUGUAAACCGCUUUUGGCAGGAACGAAACGGUGCGGGCGAGUACCCUGUGCUAAUGACGGUACCUGCAGAAUAAGCACCGGCUAACUACGUGCCAGCCGCCGCCGUAAUAC
rnacentral:rRNA from 1 species